CCCCAAGUGCAUUCACAUUAGUGAGUGCUUUUGUGAAGUGUAAAUAGCUUCACGAAUAAAAGCGGGGUAAGACCGGUGCCAGCCGCCGCGGUAACACCGGCCGCUUGAGUGGUGGUCACUAUUAUUGGGCCUAAAGCGUCCGUAGCCGGUUUGGUAAGUCCUUGGGCAAAUCCUGUCGCUUAACGGCAGGAAUUCUAGGGAUACUGCUAGACUUGAGGUCGAGAGAGGUCGGAGGUACUCCUGGGGUAGCGGUGAAAUGCUAUAAUCCUGGGGGGACCACCAGUGGCGAAAGCGUCCGACCAGAGCGAGCCUGACGGUAAGGGACGAAAGCCAGGGUAGCGAACGGGAUUAGAUACCCCGGUAGUCCUGGCCGUAAACGCUGUGGGCUAGGUGUUGCAUGCUCUACGAGGGCAUGCAGUGCCGAAGAGAAGUUGAUAAGCCUACCGCCUGGGAAGUACUAUCGCAAGAUAGAAACUUAAAGGAAUUGGCGGGGGAGCACUACAAGGGGUGAAGUCUGCGGUUCAAUUGGAUUCAACGCCGGAAAUCUCACUGGAAGCGACGGCAGGAUGAUGGCCAAGCUGAUGACUUUGCUUGACGAGCCGAGAGGAGGUGCAUGGCCGUCGUCAGCUCGUACCGUAA
rnacentral:rRNA from 1 species